UAUAUAAUGAUGAAAACUUCAAGGAAGUGCCGUCCGAAAAAAAAAAUGUUGACGAUAAUUAAUUAAUCUGAACAUAAUUA
rnacentral:snoRNA from 1 species